rnacentral:lncRNA from 10 species
CUGGGGAUCAAGCUCAUGUCCAAACAGGAAUGAGCUUGUAGAACAAGCUUAUCCAACCCUCGGCUUGUGGGCCGCAUGUGGCUCAGGUUUUGAAUGCAGCCCAACUCAAAUUUGUAAACUUUCUUAAAACAUUAUGGGAUAUUUUUCGAUUUUUUUUUUUUUUUUUGCUCAAGAGCUAUUACUAAUGUUAGUGUAUUUUAUGUGUGGCCUAAGACGAUUCUUCUUCCAGUGUGCCCCAAGGAAGCCAAAAGAUUGGACACCCCUGGAAACUCAUCAGUCAGAGGAGAUGUGAGUGAGAGGCCUCAAGUGACCCUUUCUGGAAAUUCUUCCAUAUGAAAACAUGGGAGGAGGGAGGUUUCCUAUGUAGGAACCACAUGUGCAAAAAUGGCAAAAGAAAGAGAGGAGCAAGAGAUCCGCUUAUGAUAAUCCAACAAAACGAUAACUGGAACAGAAAAGAAAACGACGGCCAAUCAAACCCCUGAGUGACUCCACAUUGUCUUUAAUUCUCCUCUAAUCAAAGAGCAGCACACAGUUGUGAGAGGUGGUCCGAGCCGGGGAGAUUAUGCAGAGAGUGACUCCAUUCAGAGAAAUUUUGGCAUGAUUCCUAACCUCUUAGCCUGAGGGAGAAUUUCUUAAAUUUUAUUUGUGGUUCUCACCUGAGAGAAUUGAUGCCUUCAAGAGAGCACCAGACAGAGGCUAAACAGACAUGCAAUAAAAUUAUCCUCCUUGGAUGGGUCAGGAGCUGGCUGAUAACUUACUCUAAGCCUACAUCAAUCAGGGAGCAGCAGGGGCAUCCACAGUCAAGGAGAGCUGAAGGUGGCAGGGCGUACAGCCGCAGAUCAUCUUAAAUAAAGAUAUAGAAGGCAGACUCUCAUAAAAGAAACCAUAAAUGAAACAAUGAAUAACGACUUCUGUUUAUCAUUCUCUAUUGUUUGCAACUUUCACAAUAAGCGUGUAUUGUUUUCUUAAAUAAAUAGCAAACAAUAAACUCAUAUUGAUAUGGCAUCAAUUUUCACUGAAUACCCUAAGAGGAAGCCAUGUUUUUCCUGCGUUUUGUAAAGCUUACAGGUGGAUUUCUUUUUUCUUUUCUUAAAAAGAGUACAUUCGGA